AUGGAGGGACCUGCCUCAGUGAUGUGCUUGAGAACUUGCUACAUAAAAGACUGUAAAGCAUUUAAUUUCAGUGAAAAUCCAGCUGCUCCGGGACAAUCUCAUCUCUCCAGGAACUGCGCUUGCUCUCGUAAGACGAUGAAAAAAAAGCGGUCAAACAGUGUUAGCAUGUGUACCUUGCCCAUCAUCCCAGAGUACCCAGGCUUCCAAGACAUUAAGUUAUCAAGAAAUAACUCAGAAACUCCAUCCUUCAACCAACUUUUCCAGGAUUUGGAAGGAAAGAGCUCUUCAUCACAGCUGAACAGCUUUCCAAACAAAGCUUCAUUACCCCAUUGCUUGGGGAGCUCUUCAAGAGGCUACUUGAAAGGCAACCCAGCAACCAGCAGUGGCUUCCGUGACAAACCACUGCAGGAGUAUUUCAACGAGAGGCUAAUGGAGCUCAGGAACUAUGAAAGUAAGAGGUCCAAUAGGAAGACGAAAGGAUUUGCUGACAAGAACCAGAACCCCUUCCUCACCCGCAGAGGAUCUCGGCGCAGAAGUAGCUGCAGUGCUGUGGUAAUGAUUGGGUGUAGCACGGAGACAGAAGAAUCCUGCAGCUCAGCAAACCAAGACAACAAGAAAGUGAUGGAGCGUAGUGAUCCAAAGGAAACCCAGAAUGUCCUGGACCUCUACAAGGGUGACUUCUUGGACAUUUUAACAAUGCACAUAGCUGCUCCCCUAGAAGCGUUAGUGCAAAAAAAAUAACACUGGAGCUGUUUACAGCUACUCCUACAGGCCUCAAAAUGCAGAAUUGUUCCUGCUCAGCACUGUUCUGACUUAAGUAGCUCAUGUGUGUUAGUUCAUUCUGACACAGAAAUAUGUUUGUUUGUGGGACAAAAUGUACUCUCGUAUUGUGUUCUUGAUUGACAUUACAUAUUUUUAUUUUCAAUUAUUUUCCUCAAAGAAUCAGUGAAAUUGUGAAAUAGUCUUAAAUUACUAUACACAGAGAACAGUGUUUGAAAUGCAUGCACAUAUUAUUGAAUUCUUAAGUUGCCUUAAAAAAAAACGUGAUUAUCAUCAGUGGAACAGAUUGGUUUCUUACUGGUAAUGUGCAUUUUCUGUUAGCUAAUCUGAAAAAACACUGUUGUGUCCUGUCAAUUUACUUUACUUGUUUUAAGGCUUGCUUUUUUAUCAUAUCACUUCAACCCAUUUCAUUUCUGGUGAUGUUUUGUAUGGAUGCAAAUACUUGAUGAGAAAUGAUUGAUUUUCUUUUGUGGCCACAUGUUGUAAUCACCAGGUGGAUCAUUGUAGCAGUGUCUGGUGCAUGGAAAAGCAAAGACAGAUGUAAGUUUUAUUUUUAAAUCUGAUCAGCCAUUAUGGUUUCAUGUGCAGGCUCACAAACCUUUAAAAAGAACUACAAGGACAAAGAGGAAAGAAAGCUGCAUUUAAGUGAGAAUUAUGGAAGUAACUAUGAGGGUAGGAUCCUUCCCACUUUCCUGCUGUAAAUAUGAGGACAACAUAGCAAAUUCUCAAUGUAAUCUGAGCUUCAAAUUGUUUAUUGUAUUUUAGUGCUUAUAGUGGUUAUUUAAGUAUACAACACCAGCUGCAGCUACAUUUUUCAAUUACACGAAAUGUCAAUGUUUAAUUCUACAGAGCACUGACCAAGGACCAGGCCCAAAGCAGGGUAACUAUUUCAAGCUUCUAAAAAGCACUACUACUGCCUGUAGUAUAAUUAGCAAUAAGUUUAUCAUUACAGUGUUAGUUUGAGCUGAUGCUUCUUUCUUCACUUUCAGAUUUUUCAAUAUGAGUUAACAAGUAAGCGGAGCUGGAAAAAUUAGGUAAUGAAUGUAUCAAUUUGCAAAGUCCAAAUAGCAGAAUAGAGCAGUAGCUGGGCUGGCAGCAGCAGCUUUCUGCCAAGACCCAAGCACAAAACCCUGUCUGCAGAUGUGUACAUUAAUAAAAGUAGUUUUGGCUGAUGGGGACA
rnacentral:lncRNA from 1 species